GCAUAUCCAAUAAGCGGAGGAAAAGAAACCAACAGGGAUUGCCCUAGUAACGGCGAGUGAAGCGGCAACAGCUCAAAUUUGAAAUCUGGCUUUCGGGCCCGAGUUGUAAUUUGUAGAGGAUGAUUUUGAUGCGGUGCCUUCCGAGUUCCCUGGAACGGGACGCCAUAGAGGGUGAGAGCCCCGUCUGGUUGGAUGCCAAAUCUCUGUAAAUCUCCUUCGACGAGUCGAGUAGUUUGGGAAUGCUGCUCUAAAUGGGAGGUAUAUGUCUUCUAAAGCUAAAUACCGGCCAGAGACCGAUAGCGCACAAGUAGAGUGAUCGAAAGAUGAAAAGCACUUUGAAAAGAGAGUUAAAAAGUACGUGAAAUUGUUGAAAGGGAAGCGUUUAUGACCAGACUUGGGCUUGGUUAAUCAUCUGGGGUUCUCUCCAGUGCACUUUUCCAGUCCAGGCCAGCAUCAGUUUUCGCCGGGGGAUAAAGGCUUCGGGAAUGUGGCUCCCCUCGGGGAGUGUUAUAGCCCGUUGUGUAAUACCCUGGUGGGGACUGAGGUUCGCGCUUCUGCAAGGAUGCUGGCGUAAUGGUCAUCAACGACCCGUCUUGAAACACGGACCAAGGAGUCGUCUUCGUAUGCGAGUGUUCGGGUGUCAAACCCCUACGCGUAAUGAAAGUGAACGCAGGUGAGAGCUUCGGCGCAUCAUCGACCGAUCCUGAUGUUCUCGGAUGGAUUUGAGUAAGAGCAUACGGGGCCGGACCCGAAAGAAGGUGAACUAUGCCUGUGUAGGGUGAAGCCAGAGGAAACUCUGGUGGAGGCUCGCAGCGGUUCUGACGUGCAAAUCGAUCGUCAAACAUGGGCAUGGGGGCGAAAGACUAAUCGAAACCUUUCUAGUAGCUGGGUUUCCGCCGAG
rnacentral:rRNA from 1 species